GUCCACGCCGUAAAACGUUGGGAACUAGGUGUGGGCCUCAUUCCACGAGGUCUGUGCCGCAGCUAACGCAUUAAGUUCCCCGCCUGGGGGAGUACGGGCCGCAAGGCUAAAAAACUCAAAAGGAAUUGACGGGGGCCCGCACAAGCGGCGGAGCAUGUGGAUUAAUUCGAUGCAACGCGAAAGAACCUUACCAAGGCUUGACAUAUACCGGAAAACACUCAGAGAUGGGUGCCCCGCAAAGGUCGGUAUACAGGUGGUGCAUGGUUGUCGU
rnacentral:rRNA from 1 species